rnacentral:rRNA from 1 species
GACGGACGCUGGCGGCGUGCUUAACACAUGCAAGUCGAACGGAAAGGCCCCACCUUGCUGGGGUACUCGAGUGGCGAACGGGUGAGUAACACGUGGGUGAUCUGCCCUGCACUCUGGGAUAAGCCUGGGAAACUGGGUCUAAUACCGGAUAGGACCGUGCUUUAGUGUGUGCGGUGGAAAGUUUUUCGGUGCAGGAUGAGCCCGCGGCCUAUCAGCUUGUUGGUGGGGUAAUGGCCUACCAAGGCGGCGACGGGUAGCCGGCCUGAGAGGGUGUACGGCCACAUUGGGACUGAGACACGGCCCAGACUCCUACGGGAGGCAGCAGUGGGGAAUAUUGCACAAUGGGCGCAAGCCUGAUGCAGCGACGCCGCGUGCGGGAUGACGGCCUUCGGGUUGUAAACCGCUUUCGGCAGGGACGAAGCUUUUGUGACGGUACCUGCAUAAGAAGCACCGGCUAACUACGUG